rnacentral:snRNA from 1 species
GGAUAUGAGAGCGAUCUGGCUGAGACGUCUGUUACCCUAUUGAUUGCCAGCGUUGAUUGGGCGACCUGGCUAGCUAGGCAUGUGUGCUCUUCUUCCCUCACCGCUUUAUGUGUGUCCCUCAGUAAGUGCGCACUCCGUUGAAGAGGACGUCCAUCCCCCAGAGAAGAGGACCAGUCUUCGAUCAAAGGUAUAGGAGUAGCUGCGCUCCCCUGCUAGACUCUCCAAACAUGCUAUUUUUCUUUUUCUUUUUCUUUUUUUUUUGAGAUGGAGUCUCAUUCUGUCCCUAGUCUGGAGUGCAAUAGCAUAAUCUCAACUCACUGCAACCUCUGCCUCCUGGGUUCAAGCGAU